GUGCAAGUUAGUAAGGGUCCGGGGUGGAUGCCUCGGCUGCCCGAGGGGAUGAAGGGCGUGUAAAGCUACGAUAAGCCGGGUGGAGGCGCAAAAUGCCUGUGAGGCCCGGAUGCCCGAAUGGGGAAACCCGGCAGGGCGUUGAGCCCUGUCAUCCGCGUUAAGCGGAGCCGAUACGGGGCGAAGUAAAACCUUCUAGUAGCCCCAGGAAAGGAAAUCAAAACGAGACUCCCCGAGUAGCGGCGAGCGAAAGGGGACCAGCCCAAACCGCACGGGUGCCAUGGUGGCGGCCGUAGCUCGUGCGGGGUUGCGGGACGUACCCGGAGAGGUCCGCCAGCCUCUCAGGGAGUUACAAAACUUCCACCUAGCCGAAGUGAGCUGGAAUGCUCCGCCAUAGAGGGUGAAAGCCCCGUAGGCUAAAGGUGAGAAGUCUCCCGGGGGUACGAUCCCAAGUACCACGGCCCUCGUGGAAGGUCGUGGGAAUCAGGGGGGACCUCCCUCCAAGGCUAAGUACUCCGGGCAGACCGAUAGCGCAUAGUACCGUGAGGGAAAGGUGAAAAGAACCCCGGAAGGGGAGUGAAAUAGAACCUGAAACCCCGGAUCCACAAGCCAGUGGAAGGGUCCUGUGGGCCCGACUGCGUGCCUUUUGCAAAAUGAGCCAGGGAGUUGUCCUCAGCGGCGAGGUUAAGCCGUUAGGCGAAGCCGUAGCGAAAGCGAGUCCGAAUAGGGCGUUAAGUCGCUGGGGGCAGACGCGAAGCGGAACGAUCUACCCAUGCCCAGGGUGAAGGACGGGUAAUUCCGUCUGGAGGCCCGAACGGGUCGGUGCUGCAAAACCGUCCGAUGAGGUGUGGGUAGCGGUGAAAAGCCAAUCGCGUUCCGUGAUAGCUCGUUCUCCCCGAAAUAGGUCGACGCCUAGCGUCACCCGUUCCUUCCCGGAGGUAGAGCCACUGGUUGGGCUAGGGCCCCGAGAGGGGUACCGAACCCUGCCAAACUCCGAAUGCCGGGAUAGGUAGGGUGGCAGUCAGUCCCCGGGGGAUAAGCUCCGGUGGACGAGAGGGAAACAGCCCAGACCGCCAGCUAAGGUCCCAAAAUCCGGGCUAAGUGGGGAAGGAUGUGCGGCUGCUAAGACAGCCGGGAGGUUGGCUUAGAGGCAGCCAUCCUUUAAACAGUGCGUAACAGCUGACCGGCCGAGCGGCCGUGCGCCGAAAAUUUAGCGGGGCUUAAGCCCGGUACCGAAGCUGCGGGCUCGCGUAAGCGAGCGGUAGGGGAGCGUUCCCUGUGGGCUGAAGUCCCACCGUAAGGUGGGAUGGACUGCAGGGAAGUGAGAAUCCUGGCAUGAGUAGCAGCGAAGACAGGUGAGAAACCUGUCCGCCGGAAGCCCAAGGUUUUGGCGGCAAUGUAAAUCAUCCGCCAGUUAGCCGGGACCCUAAGGUGAGGCCGAAAGGCGUAGCCGAUGGGAAGCGGGUCAACAUUCCCGCGCCAGCGGUGUGGAGCCAGAGUCGUGACGCAGGAGGCUAGGGAGAGCCGGCUAUGGAAUGCCGGUCCAAGGUAGUAGGAGGGGGUGGCAGGCAAAUCCGUCACCCUAUACUCCGAGAGCCGAUGGGGUAACUCUCCUGACGCCACACUGCCGAGAAACAACGGCGCUGGCGUUGAAGCACCGCUGCCCGUACCGGAAACCGACACAGGUGGGCUGGGUUAGUAGCCUAAGGCGUCGGGGGAACUCUCCUCAAGGAACUCGGCAAGUUGCCCCCGUACCUUCGGAAGAAGGGGGCCCGUGGAGGUGAAGCCCUCGCGGCGUAAGCUUCUGCGGGUCGCAGAGACCGGGCGGUGCCGACUGUUUACCAAAAACACAGGACUACGCAAACCCGUAAGGGGCUGUAUGUGGUCUGAAGCCUGGCCAGUGCCCGUAGGUGAAGGGGCGGGGUGCAAGCCCCAAACCGAAGCCCGGGUAAACGCCGGCCGUAACUCUGACGGUCCUAAGGUAGCGAAAUUCCUUGUCGGGUAAGUUCCGACCUGCAUGAAUGGCCCAACGAGUGCCGCACUGUCUCGAGGAGAGUCCCGGCGAAAUUGUGAUGCCGGUCAAGACGCCGGCUACCCGCGGCAGGACGGAAAGACCCCGUGAAGCUUCACUGCAGCCUGGUACUGAGUCUUAGCCUAUCCUGCGCAGGAUAGGUGGGAGCCAGUGAAGUCCCUCCUCCGGGAGGGAUGGAGGCGCCGGUGAGAUACCACCCUGGAUAGGCUGAGACCCUAACCCAGCCGAGUUAACCUCGGCGGGGACCGUGCCAGGUGGGCAGUUUAGCUGGGGCGGCUGCCUCCUAAAAGGUAACGGAGGCGUCCAAAGGUACCCUCAGGCGGGUCGGAAAUCCGCCGUAGAGUACAAGGGCAGAAGGGUGCCUGACUGUGAGGCCGACAGGCCGAGCAGACGCGAAAGCGGGGCCUAGUGACCCACCGGUCCCACGGGGAAGGGCCGGUGAUCAGCGGAUAAAAGCUACUCCGGGGAUAACAGGCUAAUCUCCCCCGAGAGCCCACAUCGACGGGGAGGUUUGGUACCUCGAUGUCGGCUCCCCCCAUCCUGGGGCUGAAGCAGGUCCCAAGGGUUGGGCUGUUCGCCCAUUAAAGGGGGACGCGAGCUGGGUUCAGAACGUCGCGAGACAGUUCGGUCCCUAUCCGCCGCGGGCGCAGGAGUCUUGAGGGGGUCCGUCCCUAGUACGAGAGGACCGGGACGGGGCAGGCUCUGGUGUACCGGUUAUCUCUCCAGAGGUAGCGCCGGGUAGCCAUCCUGCUACGGGAUAAGCGCUGAAAGCAUCUAAGCGCGAAGCCCACCCCAAGAUAAGGACUCCCUGAAGGGCCGUGGGAGACUACCACGUUGAUAGGCCGCAGGUGGAAGCUCCGCAAGGGGUGUAGCCGAGCGGUACUAAUAGCCCGUUCGACUUGCACACC
rnacentral:rRNA from 1 species